rnacentral:rRNA from 1 species
CAGUCGCCGCGGUAAUACGUAGGUCCCGAGCGUUGUCCGGAUUUAUUGGGCGUAAAGCGAGCGCAGGCGGUUAGAUAAGUCUGAAGUUAAAGGCUGUGGCUUAACCAUAGUACGCUUUGGAAACUGUUUAACUUGAGUGCAGAAGGGGAGAGUGGAAUUCCAUGUGUAGCGGUGAAAUGCGUAGAGAUGUGGAGGAGCACCAGUGGCGAAGGCGACUCUCUGGUCUGUAACUGACGCUGAGGAGCGAAAGCGUGGGGAGCGAACAGGAUUAGAUACCCGUGUAGUCCCUGUCUCUUAUACA